GAGUUUGAUCGUGGCUCAGGAUGAACGCUAGCGACAGGCUUAACACAUGCAAGUCGAGGGGCAGCAUGAUUUGUAGCAAUACAGAUUGAUGGCGACCGGCGCACGGGUGAGUAACACGUAUCCAACCUGCCGUCUACUCUUGGACAGCCUUCUGAAAGGAAGAUUAAUACAAGAUGGCAUCAUGAGUCCGCAUGUUCACAUGAUUAAAGGUAUUCCGGUAGACGAUGGGGAUGCGUUCCAUUAGAUAGUAGGCGGGUAACGCCCACCUAGUCUUCGAUGGAUAGGGGUUCUGAGAGGAAGGUCCCCCAAUUGGAACUGAGACACGGUCCAAACUCCUACGGGA
rnacentral:rRNA from 1 species